rnacentral:lncRNA from 1 species
UCCUCCAAGCUCGCUCAGAAGCCCAGAUGUCAUCUUGGAGAGACCUGUUGCAACCAUGUCCCAGCCUGGAGUCCUCUGGUCACCCUGAGAGCCCCGUGGGAGCUGGUACACUAUUCCACCACCUCUGCACUCUGCAGCCAGCUGGCGUUCCGACUGUUAAGAGGCAACACCUUAUAAAACAUAAACACAAGGAGAAAAAAAAAUGCACUUGGGUGACGUCCAAUAGUGACGUGGAGAAAGAGCCCAUCCUGGAAAAGCUGCCUCCGCAGGCAUCUGAUACUAACCUUGAUCUGUCACACACAUCAUGGAGGGUAGCGCGGAGGGCAUGUGUCAGCUUUAAUUAAUAGCUAACCAUCCCAUAGUGGAGGCGGGUUCUCUCCUUCACUGGAAUUUUCCAUUAGACUUGCUAAUGAUAUUUUAUGUCAAGUAAGUUAUAAAUUGAGCUGAAAAGUCAAGGUUGUGAGAGCGUAAGAAAGGAAGGCCAGACGGAAGGCGGAAGGCACUCGGCUUAACACAAUAUUAGCAUCCCCUGUGUAAUCAAUGACCAAGAUGUUCCUUAAACAUCUCUGAAGCUCAGGAUUCAAGGAAAGAUGUGCUCUUCGUCCUUGCUGAGCUGUGACAUCUGAGGAGAACAAACCCAACCACCAAGAGGCCGCACCCUCAAAUUCAGUUCCAAUGAAACUUUCCACGGCCCUAAAUUUAAACAGCUGGAUUAUCAUUCACAAACUGUCUUCUCAGCCUUUUGGAAAUGAGAGACUCCUGAUGAGAGAUGUGCAUUUCAUUUUUUGAACAGGACACAGUGUUCUGGACCUCGUUUAUGCUCCAUGUAAAUAGUCUUUUUUAAGAAGUGUGUGUUUAUCAUAUGCUACUGACACAGGUCACAGUAAACUCAUUUCCAUCAUGGGAGGUUUCCAGUGUGCAGAGGAGGUUCAGAAGAAUACAAGCCUUAUAACAAAACAACUCUGCUUCCAAGUUUUAAAUUCAAGUCAUGAAAAAUGUGGUGUGAAAGCAUUGCUAAAUUCCAUUUUAAACAUCUGAAGCUCAUAGGACAAACUUGGUCAAGGGAAGAGGAAGUGUACAAAAUAAGUGAGCCAAGAGUAGUGGCCUGUCAUCCAAGCCACUCAGGAGGCUGAGGCAAAAGGGUCACAAGUUCGGGGUUAGUCUCAGCAACUUAGUGAAACCCUGUAUCAAAAUAAAAUCUAAAAAGGUCAGGGGCUGUAGAUCAGUGGUAGAAUGCUCCAGGGUUCAAUCCCCAGUAGUGCAAUAAAUAAAACCAAGUGUGUCAGAUAUCAGGACUUAAGUCAGCAGCGUUUUUGCAGAGGAAACCACGCACCUGGAUGAUUUCCUAAAUUCUGUCUCAAUCAGGGAAAGCCAUGUGGAACCUGAAAACCUUGGAUUUAGGACAACUGCAGUAUUUGGGGAGAAGGAGACAUCUUUGCAUCCCAAACCCUACUCUCAGCAUCAAGGUCUUCAGAACCCUCAGGCUGAAGGUCCCAACCUGGAGAUACCAAGCACAGGGAUAUAUGCUGACAUACAAAGAUACCCAGAACAUUUUUACAUCUCUCUUUUUUUUAAAAGUCGAUUAAAUAAGGCUUGCUUCAGGUGCUAACCUGGUAGAAGAUCCAGUCUGAGCCAUGUUUUGGGGGAUCCUUUCUCUGCUCCCCUAUGGUCUCAUGCAGGCAGUCCUGGGCCAAGGCAGUUCAGAGACCCAUAGGAAGGGUCUGUGGUGCCCACCACUGGCCCAGGUGGCCCUCCCCAAGGUGGGGUGCAAUGCUUCUUCCUGACAGAGGCUCAGCUGCAGAUCUGAGCCGAAGAGCUCAGGUUUUCAGGUAGAGCUGGCAGCUCUCCGGGACACAUGUCCCGAGUGCCUGAUCCCAGAUCUGUCAGGCACACAGCAUACAAUGACACCCCCACCCUGUGGAAAUGCCCAAAGGCCCAAACCCCAGUCACCACCCCGUCUCCAGUCAGCACCACUGGCCUCUUCCCGUCCACAGCAGCCUCCUGCCUUCCUCGGGGCACCAGCCGGAGCUGGGGAGCAACCCAGCCUGCGAGCUGCCCUCCCAACCAGAGGUAGCAGAGCCCUAGCCCAGGCUGUGCCAACCAGAUGCCCGAGGCCAAGCUGAGUCAUUUCAGCCCAGAUCUUGUCUGUUUUCUUUACCUACUUGCCAAGGCUUAAAAAAAAAAAUCUAGCAAUUUUAACUAAAAUCCAGUUUCCCACCUUCUAGUGAAAAAUAAAACCCAAAGCUAUCCAAUCCCAGGCCUGCAUUCUCAUGUGUCGUGACUUUAGAGCUGACUAGUGUUCCCUGCUUCGCCACAGUCUCCACUGCUCCCCACCGUGGCACAGGGACCCUUCACAGACUCUCUUAGUUGUAGUUGGACACAAUAUCUUUAUUUUAUCAUUUAUUUUUAUGUGGUGCUGAGGACUGAACCCAGGGCCUGGAGCAUGCUAGGCAAGCGCUCUACCGCUGAGCUCAGCCCCAGCCCGGACCUACUUGAUCUUUGUGAGAGUUGGACUUUGCCAUCCUCGAUCUUGGCCUUAAACGUUGGCUGCCUUUAAGAGAUCGGGAAAAGAAACAAUUGCCUUUCAUUCCUAUAAGUUUCUCAAAGCACAAGGCAAAAUUGACAUUCUAAUAGCUCAUCCUCUCGUUCACACCCAGAAGCCCUGACGGGACUGGGAACACUGAGCACCAGCAGCCACAAACCCUGCAGUCACACAUGGGGUCUGCACCUAACCCGUCCAUGUGUUGAAGAAACAAUUCCUCUGACACUUGCUAGAAUGGUUAAAAGGCAGACUUUGCUCAGGACGGUCGCAAUUGGUGUAGGGUCUACCCCACUGGGGUUUUGCAGUCGAGAAAAGACUGGUUCAAGUUCAUACUCAACUAGAGACAGUGAAAAUUUGUAUCUGAGGAAAAGGGCAAGGGGGUCUCAGGGGAUGGUACAUUAAGGUGGAAUCCAGAGGGAGGGGGACUCUAGCUGCCAGACCCAACAGGCUUCUCCAGGAAGGCAGACAUCUCCAGGGAGGUGGCAGGGAGUGAGGAGUUCAUGAGGACUUAAGUCAAAGCUGGUCCCCAUCCUGAGCACCCAGGCCACCAAGAGGCACAGCCCGCAAAUGGAGUCACCCAGGGAACACCCCAGGGAACUAAGCAGUAGGGACUCCACCCUCAACACAAGCAGACUCACUCUCACAUGCUCUGGAAUAUUCGCAGUACCCAGGAUGGGGUCGGGAGGGCGGCAGGUUGGAGGUCAACCCUUCAAAGCACAGGAGGGACUCAAGGUCAUUGCUUGGAGUGGAUGGGCUGUGGGCAGAGUGAGGACAGGGCUCCUUUUAAUGGAGGGAUUUGAAGAAGGAACCAGCUGUUGUCCUGACCAACUCCACUUUGUACCUCUAAUCUCUUCUUUCCUUUGAGCUAUUUCUCCUUCCCAGCUUCCUGCAGGCAAUCACCUCACGCUAGGAGUGGAGACGGCCCCCAACCCCUGGUGCCAGCAGGACCCCAGCAGGAUCCCACAGAGCCAGAGCUGCUGCAGACUCUGGGCUGGCCGCGCUGGCUGUGCAGGUGCACACCUCUGGGCUCCCUCUUGUCCCUCCCCUGGGUGACGCUGAGGCCGGUAUUGGUACAGGGAAGAGCUGGCUUUCUGGUCUGGCCAAACUGAAAUCAAUUCCUUUUCUGCUUCACCACCAUCUUCUCUUUCUGCUAUUUAGACUCUCAAGGUGAUGGCCAGACCUGGUCUGCUAAGGCCUCUGGCCAAGAAUUCUGAUAACAAAAGGAAUAACAGCGACAUUAGCAAGCAUUAAGCACUUUCUCCUUAAAACACUCCACGUAAGUCACUCUGUAAGUACGACUCAGCCCCCAAAUGAGGCAGGUGCUGUGCUAUCCCAUUUCACAGGAAGGAAACUGAGGUUUAAGCAAGGAACACCACUGGCCCUGGCCUUCAUGGUAGUGAAUGGUAGUGUUGGGAUUUGAACCUGAAGCUAGAAAGAACUCAAGGAAAGAGAGACAGAGAAACCAGAAGCCAGAAAGAUAAGAAGAGCCCUGAGAGGGAGGGUGUUUCCUCACCAGGGACCUGUGGAGAGGAAGACAGCGAAAGCAGUACCUGCUGCCCAGCCCUGGCCACCGAGGAUGGGAGGCUGAGCCUCAGAGAGGCCAGGAGAAUGGAGGAAGUGGAGGGGACAUUUCGCUGCACCUGAGGAGCCACGUCAAACCAUAGGGUGGUUAGGAAUGAAGGGCAGGUGAAGACGUAUAGACAGGGAGACCGGGACAUCUCUGCCAAGAAGCUGGGCUGCAGAAGAAAGAUCAGUGUCAACAAGCCCCUUCAACAUGCAAUAUCACCGUCAGGCCAGAAGAGAAGAGUCAAAGUCACCAGGAGCCCAAUCUGAGGUCACCUUCCCACGACAUGCAGCAGGUUUGCUGUGGUGUGGACCAUUCAUCCCGAAUCCUCCUCUUCUCUAGAUCCUCAGUGGCAUUACUAGAGCAAACCUGAGGUCCCCUCCCACCCACCACCAUGCUGAAAGUACAUUUGCAAGUACAAUCUGGACAGCUCUGUGUGGUGACCCUCUGCGGAGACCAAGUAUGUCCUGCGACCAUCACUCAGUGUGUCUGAACUGCCACGAAUUGCAGUCCCCACACUCUAUGAGGCUCCUAAGACUUCAAAACAUCCACUGAAGACAUUCUCCAUAAAUGUACCAUUUUUGCCUUGGAAACAUCUUCCAUGUUUACAAAUCCAGUCUCCCAGAUCCCUGACCUCCAAGAAGUGAGGUUCCUUUUUUCCCACUUCCCCAACUGGACGGUGUCUCUCUCUCUCUCUCUCUCUCUCUCUCUCUCUCUCUCUCUCUCUCUCCCUCUCUCUCUCUCUCUCUCUUUUUUAGGAUAGAGAUAUGCUCAGGUUUACCUGAGGGGCAUUAAAUAUUAAUUUAAAAAAAAACAUAAUGAGAAGUCAAGAUAAAGAUAAAUUACAAGAAAAGUGAUACUUUUUUUGCUUCCUCUCUUAUCUUUCUUUUCUUUAAUUUUCACAGUCCUCCUCUCAAGGAAAUCCACAGGGCUGGAAAGAUAGAGGAGACAAAGAGGUAGAGAAAAAUCUAGGGCAAAAACAAAAGUGGAGCUGCGUAGCAGUGUACUUGAAUGCUAAGCGGAGCCCUGGUUAAUCAAACACUUUGAAUGUGAUCCCUAAAACCAAUCUUUUUUUUUUUCAUUAAUAGAAAACAAUGCCUACCAUCUGGUACUUUAUAGAAUGAGGGUGAAAUGGAAUUUGAAAACAUACUUUCAAAAAUAUUUUACGCAUAACGGAAGAGACCAAAAAUCUAGAGAAAGUAACUGAAAUAGGCUUCCCUACUUGCUUUUACACACUUGCUGAUGACGGCUUAGAAUUGAGNAGCACAGGAGGGACUCAAGGUCAUUGCUUGGAGUGGAUGGGCUGUGGGCAGAGUGAGGACAGGGC